rnacentral:rRNA from 1 species
UGGGGAAUAUUGCACAAUGGGCGCAAGCCUGAUGCAGCCAUGCCGCGUGUAUGAAGAAGGCCUUCGGGUUGUAAAGUACUUUCAGCGGGGAGGAAGGGAGUAAAGUUAAUACCUUUGCUCAUUGACGUUACCUGCAGAAGAAGCACCGGCUAACUCCGUGCCAGCAGCCGCGGUAAUACGGAGGGUGCAAGCGUUAAUCGGAAUUACUGGGCGUAAAGCGCACGCAGGCGGUUUGUUAAGUCAGAUGUGAAAUCCCCGGGCUCAACCUGGGAACUGCAUCUGAGACUGGCAAGCUUGAGUCUCGUAGAGGGGGGUAGAAUUCCAGGUGUAGCGGUGAAAUGCGUAGAGAUCUGGAGGAAUACCGGUGGCGAAGGCGGCCCCCUGGACGAAGACUGACGCUCAGGUGCGAAAGAGUGGGGAGCAAACAGG